AUGUAUUAUUUUGUGUCGAUGAUUCCACUUGCAGUAUUCACCUUCUCAUAUCUUUUCUCCCAACACUGUACCGAUUUGUUUCCUGAAAAGUCAGGAAUCUUGGUAGAUUUCGGAGAUGUUGUAAAGAAAUGGUAUUUUGUACUGAAGUACUCAGCUAGCCCUGAAAACUCUUAUUUGCACUUCUGGUCUCAUGCAGUCGUGCCGAAGGCGCGACAUUUGCACUUAUAUAAUCUUGCCCCCAACGCUUUUGAUUUGGGGCGGGUUUCGGUCAUCUGUCCUGCCUGGAGGGACGCCAGCACGAACGGUUUGAUCCGCUGA
rnacentral:rRNA from 1 species